CAGCCGCCGCGGUAAUACGUAGGGUGCAAGCGUUAAUCGGAAUUACUGGGCGUAAAGCGCACGCAGGCGGUCUGACAAGUCAGAUGUGAAAUCCCCGGGCUUAACCUGGGAACUGCAUUUGAAACUGUCAGGCUGGAGUCUUGUAGAGGGGGGUAGAAUUCCAGGUGUAGCGGUGAAAUGCGUAGAGAUCUGGAGGAAUACCGGUGGCGAAGGCGGCCCCCUGGACAAAGACUGACGCUCAGGUGCGAAAGCGUGGGGAGCAAACAGGAUUAGAUACCCCUGUAGUCCCUGUCUCUUAUAC
rnacentral:rRNA from 1 species